AAUAUUGGACUAUGGGGGCAACCCUGAUACAGCCAUGCCGCGUGUGUGAAGAAGGNUUNNGGAUUNUNAAGCACUUUAAGUGGNNNNNAAGGGCUUUAGGCUAAUACUUUGAAGUUUUGACGUCAUCAACAGAAAAAGCAGCCGCAAACUCUGUGCCAGCAGCCGCGGUAAUACAGAGGGUGAAAGCGUUAAUCGGAAUUACUGGGCGUAACGCGCGGGUAGGUGGUUCAGUAAGAUGGGUGUAAAAUCCCCGGGCUUAACCUGGGAACUGCUUUCAUACCUGCUGGGCUAGAGUACGGUAGAGGGUAGUGGAAUUUCCGGUGUGGCGGUGAAAUGCGUAGUAAUAGGAAGGAACACCAGUGGCAAAGGCGACUACCUGGACUGAUACUGACACUGGGGUGCGAAAGCGUGGGGAGCAAA
rnacentral:rRNA from 1 species